UCCACUCGCGUGCGCCGUCGCCGCUUCCUCCCCUCGCGUGCGCCGUCGCCGCCGCAGCUCCCUCUCCUCUACCGUGCUGCCGCCGCCGCUCCCUCCCAAUGAGCCGCUGGAUUUCCCAGUUAGGAGGCCGGGGCCACCGGAUCCGGUGACCCCGGUCUCCUCGCCGGCGGAUCCGGCGCCCAGACGCCCACCUCCUCCGCUCGCAAGCACCAUCGCCGUAACCGCCGCAGCUCCCUUCUCCUCUACCGUGCUGCUCCGGCCGCCGCCGUGUCCCUCUGCGGCCGCCGCCCUUGCUCCCGAUGCCACAUGACAAAAGUGGUGGCUCCUUCGCCUUGGCCUCCUCCGCUCUGUUCCUCUCCUCUCUCUAGCUCUCCUCGCCCUCUUCUCCUCACUUCUUUACACCUUCAACGUGGGCUCGCCCCGCCCUGCCCUCUCACGCUCUCCGUCACCGCCGCCGCCGCCGCCAUCGCUGUCCUCUCCUCCGAUGCCGAUCCCGAUGCCGCCGCCUCCGUCCAAACUGCCUUGACUGUGUGCCAGGCGUCGGCACAAGCCACCGGUGGUGCUUGCCGCCGUCGAUCCGCAACCCCACUCUUCCCCGCCACAGCUUCUAUUUGGAUGUUUGGACAAUGAGGUCGACGCUGGCAAGGCCGUGCUCACGGCGUCGCUUCCUGUGCCAACAAGGACGCCCCCAUGUGGUUCCCUGCUUGCAGUUGGGGCUUUCCUGCAUUUAAUCAAGCCUAGGAUACCUUUCAAAUGUAUGCAAUGAUUCUCUUUGCUUGCCAAGGUAAAUUUCCUUUUUAGACUGCUUUGAGAUUAAUAUUUGUGCUUCUUUUUUGCCUGCAUAAGAUGUACACUUAGAAACAUAAAUAGUGUGGAUCCAUCUCAAAGCCUUUAGGAUCAUAAUAUAAAUGCCCUACUGUUUUUUAUUACUGCUUUUUAAGCUUAUGGUAUCCCUCCCCUGCAUAUGAAGUGUGACAUGUAUAUGUGAGUUCUGUUUUUCCUCCAUAAGAAUCAAUUACUUUUUAAAACAACAUAUAAAAUUAUAAAGUCAUCAUGACCUAUUUAGAACUGAAAUUUUAGCUAUCAUUGGCCUAUGUUAAAGCCAUGGGACUUUUU